GGGCUCACCAAGGCUACGAUGGGUAGGGGUUCUAAGUGGAAGGUCCCCCACACUGGCACUGAGAUACGGGCCAGACUCCUACGGGAGGCAGCAGUAGGGAAUAUUGAUCAAUGGGCGCAAGCCUGAACCAGCCAUGCCGCGUGCAGGAUGAAGGCUCUCUGAGUUGUAAACUGCUUUUGUACAGGAGCAAAAAAACCCCUGAGGGGGUUCUUGAGAGUACUGUAAGAAUAAGCACCGGCUAAUUCCGUGCCAGCAGCCGCGGUAAUACGGGAGGUGCAAGCGUUAUCCGGUUUUAUUGGGUUUAAAGGGUGCGUAGGCGGCUUAUUAAGUCAGUUGUGAAAUCCUAGUGCUUAACGCUAGAACUGCGAUUGAUACUAUUAGGCUUGAGU
rnacentral:rRNA from 1 species